UACGGAGGAUGCGAGCGUUAUCCGGAAUCAUUGGGCGUAAAGAGCUCGUAGGCGGUUCAACAAGUCGGCUGUGAAAGUCCGGGGCUCAACCCCGGAUUGCAGUCGAUACUGUUGUGACUUGAGUCCGGUAGAGGAGAAUGGAAUUCCCGGUGUAGCGGUGGAAUGCGCAGAUAUCGGGAGGAACACCAGUAGCGAAGGCGGUUCUCUGGGCCGGCACUGACGCUGAGGAGCGAAAGCGUGGGGAGCAAACAGGAUUAGAUACCCU
rnacentral:rRNA from 1 species